CUGCACGCUUGGCCGACGAGGCCCUGUCGUUGGCGGGGGUGCAUCGUGCUGCCCGUUGGGGCCCCAUUCCUCGGCCUCGACACAGCUCGUGUUUGCUGGCAGGCGGGGGGCCCGGCGGACUGUUGGGGUGCAUGUGUGCCUUUGGAUCCAACCCGCUAGUAAUGCAGGCUCCCCCUGAGACCCAGGCUUCUGAAGGCGGGGGGACGGGCCAGCCUGAGUGGGGUUUCCAGGGACCCUGGCUGCGGGGCCACGCAGAGCUUGGAGUUCAGGAGGCCUGGCCCAGAGAGGAAAGGAGCUACUCCGAAGUUGCCGCGGGCACAGCACCCCAGCCCUUGGGGCAGGUGGCUUGAGCGCCUGUGUGCUGCGGCAGGCACUCGCGUCUACGGGCCUGUGGAGUGGGGGACCUCGGGUCCACUCCGUUUUUGACUGUUUUGUAACUUGGUGCUCUCUCUGCCGUCAAGCACCUGCCAGCUUGAAUUGGGCAGAGGAGACGAAGAUCCGGAAUGGUUCCUGAGCACCAGUUCGUGCUGGCUCUGGCCUUGUAGCUAGGGAUGCAGGGAUGAAAGAGCCGUGGUCCUUGCCCUCAGUGCCGGUCCCGGCAGGAAGCUGGAGCGCAGAGGAAGCCCACGCACGCCCUCCAGUCGGGGGGAGGGGUACAGAGUGGGGGGGCGCCUUCAUACAAGUUCUUGGUUUUCCUCAGUUUACUACCGAAACUAGACACCAGCGUCUGACUCCAGUGUACUUGCCUGGUGCGGUGAUCCUCUGCCCUCCCCAGCAGAGCCCCCCCCCAUUUCUGCAUGCUCCUCGGCCCAGAUGAGCUUCCUUUACCCUCAGUUCAGGCUCCCACCUGAUGCUGAGAGCAGCCUCCUCCCAGAACCUGCCUCAAGUAGAGCCUUCCGGGCGACAUAGGCCUGAAUCCAGACCAAGUGUACCUAACCAUUUUUAUUUAGAAGAAGCCAGACUCAAAUUCCUUGUCAGGAUGGGAAAUCUCGACAGUCAUUUUAUUAUUGCCUCUGCAUGGGGGAGAAGAGGAAAGCUGAAGUGUACCCUUUUGACUUUAAGAGAGUUCUAAGUAUUUAUACCUUAAAACCACUUGGGGGUGCCUGGCUGGCUCAGUCCGUGGAGCCUGCGACUUGAUCUUGGGGUCUUGAGUUCAAGCCCCAAGUUGGGCAUAGAGCUUACUUAAAACAAAGAAAGCUACAGUGUUGUCAUGUACAAAAGUCAAAGACACACAGAUUAAAAUGUUGAUGGUAAAUAAAUGGGAUGGAAAAGAAAAUUCAAAGAAAAAUACAUCACUGGGAAUAUUACCACCUAGGGCAUCACAUUUUGGGGUGGGACAGCCUGUCAGGGUUAUGGGCCUCCUAGUAGAUCAGGGUAGCCGUCACAGGCCACGAGAUACCUUUGCUAAGAACGCUGUUUGCAGGGAAUGUUGGAGGAUCAGAACAGGACCUGCCUUUGGAGUUUUCUCUUUAAAAAAAGAAGGCUUCUCAGUGUUGUGGAGAUCUCCCUCACUAGCAGUUAGAGUCUGAAGUUGCUCCAGGCUUGAUGCUGGAAUUCCAUUAGUUAGCAGUGAGAGAAGACGAGGGCAAGGAAGCUCAGGAAUAAUACAGAAACGAAAUAGAAGAGGGAUCUCAACAAAGAACUAGGAGCUGUGUGGGUGAUGCUCCUACAGACACCGGGGACUGUUGGGUCCUGUUUGAAUUUGUGGCUGAAUUGGGUGCUGUUAGGUGGAGUUAGGGACAGGGAACAUCAGGUGUUUCAGAGGGUGUACAGAAGAUCUAGUUGAUGGAGGAGUUGGCUUUGGUUAAGGGCCCCAGGGAAGACUAGAGCUUGGUUAGGGAACAGGGAGUGGGGACAGUGUUUGGUGAGUCAGGGAGGCCUCCCUGAGAAGGGCCCAUUCAGAGCUCUGAAGUGAGCAGCCAGCCCCAUGAACACCUGCUCUUGGCCAAUUUCUGGAAUCAGCCAAGCACUGAGGCAGGAAGGACUGGGUAUGUUUGAGGAGCCUAAAGGAAGCUGGAGGGGAGUGAGGAGUGGGCCAGGUCAGGCAUGUAUAGGGCUCAUAAGUAUGAGGGGAGCCACUGGGGGUCGGGGCAGGUACAUGAUAGGGGUUUGCUGGCUGCCAUAUGGAGGUGGACCAUUGGAGGAGGGCUGGGGCGCCCCAAGUUUGAUCCAUCUCAGAUCCAGGCUCUAGGUGACAGGAGCAUAACUCCCAAAGGGGCACAUGUGGGUCCUGCUGCUCCAAAAGCACAUCCUCUGCUCCCAAAUACAGGAAGUGGAGAAGGAGGGAGAAAAUGGUGGAGGGAAAACCCCAAUGUGGGGACCACAUGGAGUUUUUGGUCCAUGGUCUGUAUCAGACCCCACUGGACACAGGCCUGGAGACCCCAUCCCCGGGCAGAGGAUUAGAGCGAGUGUUCUGUUUGGUCAUGUCCAAACAGAACAGGCUGUUUGUUGAGCCUCAUUGAGAGGCUCAUGAGGUGCCCAAGGGGAGCACACGAGCAGGGAAGGGGCCACGUUCCCUGUCCCCUCCGCCAUCCGUCCCUUAGCCGCUGCACCACAGCUCUGUUCCUCCCGCAUACCUGUGUGAUCUAACCUUCAUGGUCUGGCUUCUCCGGCAGCACGAGGAUUGGUGGUGUCCUCUCUGGUGCAGACUUCCUGCUCCGGAGGUCUCGUUACAAGCUCAGAAAAAUGAAGAGCUGUGACUAAAGGGAGAGCUUUCGGAAGAAUAGGAGAGUCUGGCCCCUGGCCUUUCUCCUUAGCCCUUCCUGGAUUCCAGUGGCCCUUCCUCUCUCCUUGGGAACAAAGAAAGAUGGAAAAGCCCACGGGCAAAAAGAAGGCACAGACCCCAAAGGAAGAAGGAGAUUUGCUAAAGGACACUCCCAAAGGAGAGAAAGCAUCUGGUGAGAAAAAGGCAAACAAGAGGUCCACUUUGGCGAAAAAGUACAGCAAGGAAGCCAGCCUGAGUCCUGAAGAAGAACACGUAUUUGAUGCCUUUGAUGCUUCAUUUAAAGAUGACUUUGAGGGGGUUCCCGUGUUCAUUCCUUUUCAGAGAAAGAAGCCCUAUGAGUGCAGCGAGUGUGGACGCGUCUUCAAGCACAAGACAGACCACCUUCGCCACCAGAGGGUUCACACGGGAGAGAAACCCUUCAAGUGUGAGGAGUGUGGGAAGAUGUUCAGGCACAGCUCCGAUGUCACCAAACACCAGAGAAUCCACACUGGAGAGAAGCCCUUUAAAUGCAGCGAGUGCGGGAAGGCCUUUAACUGCGGCUCCAAUCUCCUAAAACAUCAGAAGACGCACACUGGAGAGAAGCCGUAUGAGUGCAAGGAAUGUGGGAAAACCUUUGCCUACAGCUCAUGUCUCAUUCGCCAUCGGAAGCGCCACCCACGGAAGAAGCACUGAGCGCGGGGAAGCUAUCUGCCAAGACGCGGUGUUUGUGCUGAUGGGAGCUGUCCCUCCUUCAGCAUCUGAUCGAUGCUGGGGGUCCGUGAGCUCAGCGCACCUGUGCCCAGGCAUCCCCCUCAUCAUCAGGAAAAUCAACCCAGUGGGGUAAGCAAGUGCUUGAGCAUGGUAAAGACCUUUCUGGUCCAGAGCAUCUCUGGAUCAAGACACCAUGAUAAUGUGGGAGGGGCUUGCAGCACGGGAGACUCUGGGGAUAUCGACAGCUGUCUGUGGGGCUCGCGAGGCAGCGGCUGCUUGUGAGCGGCCCAGCGCCUCCCUCUGCGGCCUCCGCCCGUGGUGUCCACUGUGGUUUCAGCCCUCUCACCUGCUCCUUUGAAGACUUGAGUCUGCAGACUCUUGACCUGCCGGGUCAUCCCUGCACAGCCUGGCAGGAGGCCCACGGCCCUGAGCUAGUAGCAGUACUCUGCGGUCGCGCCCUCAGCACUGCACCAGACACCUGCUGUCCCCACUCGGCUGGCCAUGGUGACAGUGGUUUGUGCUCUGGCUUCCCUCCUCGGGCUGCGGUGCCACCACCAUCCCCCACCCCAUCCCCAGGAACUGCACCCUUUGUGCAUCCCCCUGGCCUAGCCCCCAUCCCAGGUGAGCGGCCUGACUCACCCAGGUGGAUCGCUCGGGACCUACAUACUGCCACCGUGGGAGAUUCCCGCCCUGGACACGUGGUGGAGGCCCCAAGGAUGUGAGCACAGCUUCGAGCCAGGCUGCAUCUGCCAUGGGGGCCUUCAGACAUGAGGCAGUGCGCCCUGCCCCCUGGGGAUCGGCUCUCCAGCUGUUUGGACCCCCAAGAUAGCCUUACUCUUUGGGGAUUCCGUCCUGCAAGAAGGUCCUGAAUCGGGGGGAGACCCGUUUCUCCAUCGGGGGUCACAGACGCCAGAGGGCAGAUGCUCCCGGUGGAAAUGCUUCUCCAGGUUGGCAAGUGUUCGCUCCUGUUCUUUCUAAAAGCUGUGAUGUUAUGACACCUGAGCUGGACACCCUGCCCCCCCUCCCCAGCGCAGCGGGCCCUCCUACCUGACGCAGCUCGCCCUAGGUGUGGCAGGAGGUCCAGGGGGACGCACAGUGGAUGGUAAAGGACGUUACUGGGACAUUCGGCAAACCUCGUGUCCACACUGUCCACUGGGUGGCAGAGCCGCAUCAGUUUCCAAGCUCCUGCUUGGCUUGCGGCCCCCGGCCAUCCCAGACCUCAUCCUUGUCAAAGAUGCUCCCUAAGGUUUUCAGGGACACAGGAUCAUGAUGUCUGCACUUUACCGUCAAAUGUUCAGCAGAGAAACAGAGUAACAAGACGUGUAUCCGCACUGAGUGAUGAAGCAAAUUGAACCCGGAGUCAGGCUGGCAGACGUUUUCUGUAAAGGGCCAGAUAGUAGCUGUUCUUGGCCCUGUGGCCCUAAGGCCUCUGUCCCCGCUCAGCUCCGCUGUGACAUGCGACAGCAGUGAACACAGUGAAUGAGCGCGGCCGUGUGCCAGCAGAGCUGUGUUGGGCGGCCAUGUUGGGCCUGUCGUAGGUGGAGGGCGCGUGAGAGUCAGCCUGACCCGUGUGCGCUCGGGUCCUCCAGGACUGGCUGCGGGGGGGGAAGCCAGUGCAGGAAGCCGCGGGACACCCUGGGAGGGCUGCGGAGGGGCUCCGAGCAGCGAGCCCUGGUGCCCACCUUGGGUGCCGGAGCGCAGGCUGUGGACCCGGCACGCACGUCCAGGGGUGUCUGCGUCCUCUUCGGCGUGGUUUCGUUUGUCUUUACUGCGGCCUUCUGACACACCAGGACGCGUGUGUUCCCGUGCAGCGUCCGCCGUGAGAUCUGUAUCACGUGUUACAGCCCAUUUCCCCGUUCCCACGGCGGCAGGCAUGGUCUCCACCGCCGCCUACAGGUGCGGUGAGCAGAGGCUCACCGUGUCCUAACGGGCGUGUGGGCUGUUUCUGGUUUCGGGCGUUAUAAAUAAUGCUGAGAUAAAUACCUUUUCUGCAUCUCGGGCCGACAGGAUGGGUCCCCAGACACGGAAUGCCAGGGGGAGAUCCUCGGGGCUGUGCGGGCUGGGCGCCCCAGCGGCACACGGACAGCAGGCUUGCCCUGGCCUCUCCGGCAGCAGGCAGGUGGGUCUUCAUCAUUGCCGGUUUGUUUGAAGAGAGGGAAACGCACUCUGACCCCAUGGCUUUGGUUUCUAGAGAGGAAAUGGGUGGUGAAGAACACAGGCUCUCGGGCCGGGGCUUAGCGACUUGAGCCGGUGCCUUGGCGAUGUGGGACUUGGGGCAUGUCCCUUAACCUCCUCGUGCUGCCUCAGUUUCCUCAGGCGUGACAUGGGGAUGCUUAACCUGACUCAGUGAGUCAGCACGUGAAGUCCUAGGUGCAGGGCUGGCUCCUCCCAAGUGUCUUAAGAAUGUCAGCUCUGGGGGCACCUGGCUGACUCGGUGGGUGGAGCUUGGAACGCUUGAUCUCCGGGCCGUGAGUUCGAGCCCCACGUUGGAUGUGGAGCUUCUUGCCAUGUGUUUGUGUUCUUAGCAAGGCAGACAUUUGCUUGUAGGCAUGGGAGGUGGCCGUGCACGCCGACAGCCCUCAGCGCCUCUCUCAGGAAGGCUGCAUCAGCCCGGAAAAGAGCCACAGAAAACUACUUUUUUAAAAAGUAAGACUUGGGGGCGCCUGGGUGGCUCAG